UACGUAGGCAGCAAGCGUUGUUCGGAAUUACUGGGCGUAAAGAGUGUGUAGGCGGUGCUCUAAGUUCGGUGUGAAAUCUCCUGCUUAACUGGGAGGGUGCGCCGGAAACUGGGGUGCUCGAGCGUGGGAGAGGAAAGCGGAAUUCCUGGUGUGAGCGGUGAAAUGCGUAGAUAUCAGGAGGAACACCUGUGGUGUAGACAGCUUACUGGACCAUUUCUGACGCUGAGACACGAAAGCGUGGGUAGCAAACAGG
rnacentral:rRNA from 1 species